GUCAGUUACCCAGGAAGAGCCUGAGUUCAGAGAGUAGAUGGCAGUUGUCCUGUAUUUUUGCUGGUAUUUGCCGUGCCUCUGAAGUAGUUCCUGAGGUUCUCCACGAACAACACUUUGGGGGUGGAGGAGAAAACAAGUCCCUAAAGCAUAUGCAGGCUACUCCGUGAACAUCUGCCCUGAAUGGAUGCAACCUGCAGUGCUCAUGAUCCACAGACCUUUCUAAGUCAGAGGGGUACCUUCUGUGCAACCAAAAGUAACAGCAAACAAAACUGCCAUCUGGAGAUCCCAUGAUGAGUAUGGUCACUCUGAAACACAGGAGCUCAGUCCUCUUCCGAUCAGCUAUGCGACCUCUCAGUGUGCAUGUGGCAUGCAUUCAUCCAUCCAUGUAAAUGGGUGUGGCACCGGGGGACGAUGGGAAACACCUAUAACCUUGGCACUCCGGAGGCAACAGGAGGAAGAUCAAGAAUUCAAAUCUAGGGCUGGUGAGAUGGCUCAGUGGGUAAGAGCACCCGACUGCUCUUCCGAAGGUCUGAAGUUCAAAUCCCAGCAACCACAUGGUGGCUCACAACCAUCUGUAACAAGAUCUGACACCCUCUUCUGGAGUGUCUGAAGACAGCUACAGUGUACUUACAUAUAAUAAAUAAAUAAAUCUUAAAAAAAAAAAAAAG
rnacentral:lncRNA from 1 species